GACUUGGGAUGACAGCUCUGCUUCUCUGAGGGCCGUCCUGACCAGGGCAAACAGGGUGGCAUUGAACAUGACUGUCCCGUCGCUGUUCAGAGGCAUGUUCAUGGAGACCAGGCGCUGCAGGCGAAGAGAAGCAAAGCUGGUGAUGAUGGCAGGCGGUGCUUAGGGGACCACAGAACACCGUAGCAGAGUGAUAUGGUUUGGAUCUGUGUCCCUGCCCAAAUCUCAAGUUGAAUUGUAAUCCCCAGAAUUGGAGGUGGGGCCUGAUGGAAGGUGAUUGCAUCAUGGGGUGGAUUUCUCACAAAUGGUUUGGUACCGUCCCCUUGGUGAGUGAGUUCUCAUGAGAUCUGCUUGUUUAAGUGUGUGGUCCCUCCCCCUUCUCUCUUGCUCCCUGUCUGUCCAUGUGAUGCACCUGCCUCCCCUUUGCCUUCCACCAUGAUUGCAAGCUUCCUGAGGCCUCCCCAGAAGCAGAAUGCUAGUGCCAUGCUUCCUGUACAGCCUGCUGAACUGUGGGCCAAUUAAACCUGUUUUCUUAUAAAUUA
rnacentral:antisense_RNA from 1 species